UCCUACGGGAGGCAGCAGUGGGGAAUAUUGGGCAAUGGGGGAAACCCUGACCCAGCAACGCCGCGUGAGGGAAGAAGGUUCUCGGAUUGUAAACCUCUGUCCUUGGUGAAGAGUAGAAGACGGUAGCCAAGGAGGAAGCCCCGGCUAACUACGUGCCAGCAGCCGCGGUAAUA
rnacentral:rRNA from 1 species